rnacentral:rRNA from 1 species
UUUUGAGUCAUAAAAAUUAAUACCUAAGUAUUAUGAAAAUAUUAUUUUAUUUAAAACUUAAAAGGUUUGGCGGUUUUACAUAUCCAAUUAGGGGAGUUUGUUAAUUGAUUUGAUGAUCCUCGUUUUAAACUUACUUUUUUUUGUUAUACAGUUUGUAUAUUGCUGUCGUUAGUUUAUGUUUUGAGGAUUAUUAAAAGACUAAAAAAUGUAUUGAUUUUUAUGUUAAGUCAUAAUGCAGCUAAUAAAAAAGGUUUAAUGAACUACUUUAAUAAAUUUUCUUAAUAUCCGGAUUUUAAAAAUUAUAUUUUAUUAGAAAGGUGGACUUAAUAGUAAAUAAUAAUUAGUAUGUAUUAUUGAAUUUGGUUUUGUAGAGUG